GGUCUCUAGCUAACAAAAUCCUCACCAUCACCUGCAUUUUCUAUAAAAACAAUAGCGAGGAGUGAGACGUUAGCUCAGUGAGUAAUAACACUUAACUACAAUCGUUUUAAUGGGGGAAAGUCAUAAAACAUCAUGAAAUAAAAGCUCUUUCAGAAAAUAGUAACCUUAAACAGUAUUAUUUGUUUCAUAUAAGCAAAAUAAACCAAUAGUUUAGUAAUAAACUCAAAAAACAUUAUAUCAUAUCAAAUAUUACAUAUAUGGGAGGUUUUCAAGAAUGAAUCAUGUAAUCAGUGUGACAUUCUAUGUCAAGAAUAGCCAAUAACAGUGGACCCCUCAUAAAAGAGUCAAAUAUCAUAUUAGAAGGUCCCUACCAAGGGAGAUCAGUAAUAGUAUGCUAGUUCAACUUUUCCAUUAGCGAGGGCUGUAACAGUAAUCAGUAAAUACAAGGUGCACCAGGUCUAACGAUCCCUCCGUUAGCUACGGAAUUCAACUCAAGGUCUACUCUCAUAUAUACUUUCUUUGUAAACAAUAGAAUAUUCAUAUGAAAGCAUUUUUUAGAAUAGUACAUAUCAUUUAAAGUUCAUAUCAAAUCAUGUUACAUGUAAACUUGAAUAAAAACACAUGUCAAGAUACUUAUUUCUCAUGUAAGUAAAGAAUAUUCAUAGUAAUAAUAUCAUAUCUCAAAUAACCAUUCCAAUAUCAUAUCAAGUAAAGAACUUGUCCCACGUGCAAAUUUUCAAAGCAUUCAAUAACUCUUGGUUUCAUCAAAAACAUGUAUAAAUAUGCAAUUGAAGAAACAUAAAUUAUGGUAAGAUUACUACUCACAGUACACGUGUCGGAAUAUCCAAACUUGUCACCUCAAAUGAUUCAUAUCGCUUUCUUGGAUCAAAUCUAUAAUCACAUCAUAUCAAUUUUACAUUAAUUUCCUUAUUUUAGGCUAACUUUAUGAUAAAAUUAGAUAACCCAACCCUCAAGGUUUCAUGGUAUUUUUCAAUUUAUCGAAUUUCAUACCCAAAGUCACACCUUAUUUUGCAUAAUCUCGUCUUUGAUAAGCAAAUUUUAGUACCCAAAACAAAUUACCUAGACCAAAAUUUAGGAUAAAGAUGUAGAAAAAGAUUUACCUUAAACCUGGUAGAAAUCUCCAAACAACUAACUUUUUCUUCUUCUUUUUCUUUCCUCAAUUUUUUCUUCUCAAAAAGAUAAGCUAAUUUUUUCAAUUUUAACACACUGCUGCUGCGUUUUCUAACCCAAAAGUCCUUUAUAUGCUUUCUUUUUUUUUUUAAAUUUUUGGCAGCUGCUACACGUUGGAGCCCAAAUAUCGCCCAAUUCCUUUUUGAUUUUGUUGAUUAAGUAAAGAUGGAUUGAAAUCAAUCCUUUUCUUAAUUGGUUUUGGGGCCGUACAUAUGGGAUAUGCCUAACCCUUUUCCUUUUUUUCAAUUAGAGGAUGGGAUUGACCCACUUUUUUUUUUACAAGGAUAUUACAUUCUCCCCACCUUAGGAAAUUCAGUCCCUGUUUUGCAAAAAAUUUUACUUAUUUGAGAGAGUCGCCAAUUAAUUUUGAAAAGGAAUUAAGAAACAUUUAUAAGAUACUAUUAAACGAUCCAAAAUAGAAAAAUCGUUUAGUUUCAAAAAUUCUGAAUAAGCGAUUCCUAUUAACAUUUAAAAAAGAUUUUAGGCACCUAAAACGUCCACUAACUUACGGUUAUCCAGACUAUUUGAAAACAUCUUUUGACUAACUUCAAAAAAUAAAAUAUUUAUUUGUUGAAAAAAGUUAUUGCUUUUUUAGAAAGGUUUGUGUAAAAUAGAUUUAGACGACUCAGUAGGGGUUUUAACUAAGUCUAAACAAAACUAAUAAGCAUAAAAACACAUAAAAGGGGAAAGAAAGGAGAAAGUAAGAGAUUUAAGCCAUUAGGCCCAAAUCAAUAAAACUUGUCCUAGUCUAAUUAGGCUUUCGACCUAUUUCACCUGACCUAAUCUAAUUUUUGAGCCUUUUAGCCCAAAAUUCGCUUCACCUGUAUUACUUUACAACUUUGACUUUUAGACCCAAAUAAUGAAUUAAAUAAAUGAAUAAAUAGAUAAUAAAAGACAAUAAUAAAUAAAUAAAUAAAUUAAUAAAAAGAGACUUUCUAGUCUCUUUGCGGCUUCAAAGAUGGGACUUUGCCCCAUUCUUCUUCUUUUGACUCCUUGCCUUGAUACACCACACUCUCGACUCUGGACUUAGUUUUGAAACGGACUCGAGGGGAUGGGCUUCAUCGGGCCCUUGAAUGCAAAGAAAGUGGAGGACGCACUUGACCUCGAACGGAUUUUUCAUGCCAAAUAAAGGGGAGGAUUAGAGUUUUAUUUGUAAUAAGAGUAAUCAAUUUGAUAAUAUAAAUACAAAACACAAUUGAUUCGAAUCGAAUAAAAUCUCAAACAAGUUCAUACUACACAUGGGGUUGCAUUUCUGUAUUUCAAGUAAUCACAACAAGGUCUAAUCAUUUUACUAAUCCACAAUACUACCUCGGGGUAUUUCACGGUUUAAAAGAUGCAUUCCAAAAGAAGAAAAAAUAAACUGAUAGGAAAACAUGUGGGUGAAGAAAAGAGAUAAAAUUGACGUGGAAGUUAAGUUUAAAAAAUCACCAUUUAGACUAUCAAAAGCAAGACUCACAAAUCAAUUCACUCUUUCACAGGGAAUAUCUUCAUACUUGAGUACCAAAGUGAAAAAUUAUGGAAGCACCUCAUAAGUUCAUUAAAAUCUUACAAUCAUAAUAGUCCUCCUAGGAAAACUAGGAAAAAGGCAACCACUAAAAAAGGGGGAAAACAUAAGCAGCAUCACGCUUAAACAAAUUAGUCAACAAAUUAAUAGGAUUUCUACGGGCUGCAACACCACAUUUAAAAAAUCAAUCAAAUCUCUACAGUAAUAGCACCAUACUUAACAUCAUACAAAUUAAAUCUCUAUAGUAGCAACACUACACUUAACGAGUUAAUCAAAUCACAAUGCCAACAACAAUACUAUAAAGUAAUAAAAUGGAAUCGAUGACUAACCGGAUGUUGGGCAGCAAAACAGGACUCGAAGCUUCAUCGGAAUCACAACCACCCGAAAAAACAUCUUCCCCUUCGACUCGAAGCUCUAAUUUAGCUGACGAACCUUCGGAAAAUAGAAUUUCUACCACAGAGAUUGAAUUUUUCUAUCCCACAGUUUCUUUGUUUUCUCUUUACCUCUUUUCUUUCUUGUUUUUCCUUUCAAAUUUUUCCGAACCCAAAAAUUUCCAACCCCAGAAUUUCGAACCCCCCUUUUUCUCUUGAUUUUGUUCUCAAAAGAAAUUUUUGGACCUAAACAAAUUUUCUCCCCCAAGAGAAUUUCCUCUCCCUCCUCUUUCAGAUUCCCAAAACCCGCUUUAUAUAGAUGGGAAAAUGGGGGUUAAUUUUGAAAUUCGAAUGAGGGGGAAUUCCAAUUUUGAAAAAAGGAUAAGAUUGUGAUGAAAAUUUGUACGAAACUGUACUCUUUUACAACGGAUUCAUGAUGAUUUGUUGAGGUCGUAUGAUUCCUUAUCGCUGGAAUCACGGGUCGGAUAUAGGGGGGGUCAGUUUUAGGUGGGUAAUCAGGUCAUCAUGGAAGGAUUUCCACUAGAACUAGUCGGUAUUGAUGUUGUUCGGCGAUUUGAUGUUGGAGGCUGUUGUUUUGUUGUUUGUCGAUGUUGUUGUACGUAUAUGUUUUGGCUAUUGAGCGUACGUGCUGUUGCUGAGGUUAUUUGAUUGUGUUGGGCCAGUGGCUGGGUAUUUUAAUUGUUGUUGGGCUGGUGACAAUUUAAAAGUAUAGCUAGUUCGGCGUUGAUGGGCAGUUGGGUUUGGGCCGAAAUUAUAGUGGACUGCUGAUGGGGUUUUUUAAUUAGGUAUUGGGGCUUUGGCCAAUUUUAUUUAAGUUUUGGCCAAUUGCAUCGCAAUUGUGGCCAAUUAAUUUCAAUUAUGGCCAAACCUAAUAGAUUGACUAAAUUAAAAUAAAAUUCGAAAUGAA
rnacentral:lncRNA from 1 species